UGCUCUGAGUCAGUUUCAAGGUGGUUUGCGAGUGAUCGGGUCUCUCUACGGUACACAGGCUGUUCAGCUCACCAGACGAUGUAGCAAGUACUUGUGUGUUACUUGGCACUUUGUGCCUCCCUCUGACACCUGCUGAGCUCGCCCAGGUAAGCACCCUUGUCUUCAGAUAACCCCAAUCUCCUCUGCGACCCCGAGCAGCUGGGGACACUGCAGGUGACUGCACUCUCGGCGCUACAUCAGUAGACAAGGUUACCUGCAGGGUGGGAGCACGGCGUGGCCGUGGUGCUUCGCAGCUUGGUUGUGAUAGGGAUGCAGCAUACAGCCCUGAGGAUUAUCCAGCCAUUUAGUAAUUUCAAGUGCAGGCCGAAUAACCCUGUCUGCUGUUCUUGGGCCAGGACAGCUGCUCAGGAUUUUGGAAUAUUUGUGCAUACAAGAUGUUUUGGGGAUGAGACUGAAGUCUCAACACAGAAUCAUUUGUAUUUUGUGUAGGUGUAGGUGAUUGUGGACACAUGUACGUGUGUCUGAAGGUGAUUGUGUGUAGACACAUGCCCGUGAGUCUGAGGUGAUUGUGGACACAUGUACGUGUGUCUGAAGGUGAUUGUGUGUAGACACAUGUACGUGCGUCUGAAGGUGGUUGUAGACACAUGUACAUGAGUGAAGGUGAUUGUGUGUGGACACAUGUACGUGUGUCUGAAGGUGAUUGUGUGUGGACACAUGUACGUGAGUCUGAGGUGAUUGUGUGUAGACACAUGUACGUGAGUCUGAAGGUGGUUGUGUGUAGACACAUGUACGUGCGUCUGAAGGUGAUUGUGUAGACACAUGCCCGUGAGUCUGAGGGUGGUUGUGUGUAGACACAUGUACGUGAGUCUGAAGGUGAUUGUGUGUAGACACAUGCCCGUGAGUCUGAAGGUGGUUGUGUGUAGACACAUGUACGUGAGUCUGAAGGUGGUUGUGUGUAGACACAUGUAUGUGAGUCUGAAGGUGAUUGUGUGUAGACACAUGUACGUGAGUCUGAGGUGGUUGUGUGUAGACACAUGUACGUGAGUCUGAGGUGAUUGUGUGUAGACACAUGUACGUGAGUCUGAGGUGAUUGUGUAGACACAUGUACGUGAGUCUGAAGGUGAUUGUGUGUAGACACAUGUACGUGCGUCUGAAGGUGAUUGUAGACACAUGCCCGUGAGUCUGAAGGUGGUUGUGUGUAGACACAUGUACGUGAGUCUGAAGGUGCUUGUGUGUAGACACAUGCCCGUGAGUCUGAAGGUGAUUGUGUGUAGACACAUUGUACGUGAGUGAAGGUGAUUGUAGACACAUGUACGUGAGUCUGAAGGUGAUUGUGUGUGGACACAUGUACGUGAGUCUGAGGUGGUUGUGUGUAGACACAUGUACGUGAGUCUGAGGUGAUUGUGUGUAGACACAUGUACGUGAGUCUGAGGUGAUUGUGUAGACACAUGUACGUGAGUCUGAAGGUGAUUGUGUGUAGACACAUGUACGUGCGUCUGAAGGUGAUUGUAGACACAUGCCCGUGAGUCUGAAGGUGGUUGUGUGUAGACACAUGUACGUGAGUCUGAAGGUGCUUGUGUGUAGACACAUGCCCGUGAGUCUGAAGGUGAUUGUGUGUAGACACAUUGUACGUGAGUGAAGGUGAUUGUAGACACAUGUACGUGAGUCUGAAGGUGAUUGUGUGUGGACACAUGUACGUGAGUCUGAGGUGGUUGUGUGUAGACACAUGUACGUGAGUCUGAAGGUGAUUGUGUGUAGAUACAUGUACGUGAGUCUGAAGGUGAUUGUGUAGACAUGUACGUGAGUGAAGGUGAUUGUAGACACAUUGUACGUGAGUCUGAAGGUGAUUGUGUGUAGACACAUGUACGUGAGUCUGAAGGUGAUUGUAGACACAUGUACGUGAGUCUGAAGGUGAUUGUGUGUAGACACAUGUACAUGAGUCUGAAGGUGAUUGUGUGUAGACACAUUUACGUGCGUCUGAAGGUGAUUGUGUGUGGACACAUGUACGUGAGUCUGAGGUGAUUGUGUGUAGACACAUGCCCGUGAGUCUGAAGGUGGUUGUGUGUAGACACAUGUACGUGAGUCUGAAGGUGAUUGUGUAGACACAUGCCCGUGAGUCUGAAGGUGGUUGUGUGUAGACACAUGUACGUGAGUCUGAAGGUGAUUGUGUGUAGUGUCUUAGGUGCACCUGUGUUUCAGCCGCAGCCUCUCCAGGACGUCAGGGCCGAGCGGCGUCUGGUCAGCGCUCAGUUUCAGAUUUGGAUUUUCUGAUUCAGGAUGGUCGGCCUGAAAUCAAUUCACACUUAGCAACAUUCUGUUUACGUAGUUAUUUCAAAGCUGGGACAGCUGAUGGCUGUGUUUUUGAUAAGACACAAUUUUUUGGCUUUUAGAAUUUUUCACCCUGAGUGAGCUGUUACUGCACUUCAGAGGGCCUUUGCAUUAAAAAGACAAACUUUCGCGCCAGUUGAUUGUAUCAGUAUUGAAGAUGGAUUUUUUUUUUUUUUUUAAUUUGUUUUUAAAGCUUUUACUUAUUUGAGAGGUAGAGUGAAUAGAGAGAGGGAGAGAUGGAGAGAAAGGUCUUCGAUCCGCUGGUUCACUCCCCAAAUAGCCUCAAUGGCCAGAGCUGGGCCGGGCUAGAGCCAGGAGCUUCUUAUGGGUCUCCCACUUGGGUGCAGGGCCCAAGCACUUGGGCCAUCGUCUAUUGCUUCCCCAGGCCAUUAAUAGCUGGAUCGGAAGAGCCGGGACAUGAACUGCACCCACAUGGGAUGCUGGUGCUGCAGGCGGAGGCUUAGCCCACUGUGCUGCAUUGCAGACACGUCUUUCUUAGUAACAGUCUCUAGCCUCAUUAGCAUACGUGCUCGUGGCCUGAGUUGUGCUGUGUGGAUUACGCUGUCUCCGGCAGUGCUGGCACCUGAGAUCUGGUGAGUGCCAGCUGCCCCCUCACAAUGUGCUUGGGAAAACGAUUGAAGAUGGGUCAAAUACUUAGGCUCCCGCCACCCACGUGGGAAACCCUGAUGGAGUUGGAGGCUCCUGCCUUCAGCCUGGACCAGCCUGGGCCAUAGCGGAUCAGAAGUGGAGCAGCAGGGACUUGAACCGACACCCAUAUGGGAUGCCAGCACUGCAGGCGGUGGCUUUAUCUGCUACUCCACAGCACCAGCCCCAAUAAAUACAUCUUUUAAAAAAUACUUGUUUAGUAUUUUUUCCGAGACAAAAUAAGCUUAACUCAGAAUUCACAGCAAUUUGACUAAUUCACUUGAAUUAAGUAAAAACUGGAUCAACUGGAAAUAUGUUUUUAGGCAUGCAUUUGCGUGUGAGUGUAGGAAUAUGUUUGUUGGUCUUAGGGUUAUUUGCCAACGUGGACUUUCACUUAUUUCUUAAGUGGGUGACGUGUCGUUCUUCACGUGCAGCGGCCUGAGAAGGUGGUUAAGCUUCACUCGGUUGACCUCGUCGCAUUGUCCAUUGGCGGCAGGUGGCUCGCCCGGGCGCCACGCCGCUGGAGCCGGGUUGCUGACGUCCAGUUUGCUG